GACGAACGCUGGCGGCGUGCUUAACACAUGCAAGUCGAACGAAGUGGCGAAAGGGUGAGUAACGCGUAAUCAACCUGCCCUUCAGAGGGGGACAACAGUUGGAAACGACUGCUAAUACCGCAUACUGAAGGAGGGGAUUGCGUCGGGUUAGCUAGUUGGAGGGGUAACGGCCCACCAAGGCGAUGGUCAGUAGGCGGUCUUGGAAGAUGGACGGCCACAAUGGGACUGAGACACGGCCCAGACUGCUACGGGGAGCAGCAGUGGGGAAUCUUCCGCAAUGGACGAAAGUCUGACGGAGCAACGCCGCGUGAGUUAUGACGGCCUUCGGGUUGUAAAGCUCUGUUAAUCGGGACGCGGUACCGGAAUAGAAAGCCACGGCUAACUACGUGCCAGCAGCCGCGGUAAUUC
rnacentral:rRNA from 1 species